CGCUGGGUUCCAUUACCUGCAAGGCUGGGACUGACAGCCACUGUGCAAACACAAAAAGGCAGCAAGCAAGCGGGGACCAUUCUGUCUGCUGCGUGGGUCUCACUUGUCCUGACAACCAGGCAUCAUCCCUGGAAGGUAUCCUGCAGUAUCUCUUUGAGGAGGUGAUAGUUGAGUGUCAAGAGACAUCUGUAAAAGCAACACAUGGAGGGAAAAUGAUUCUUGAUUCCUAAUAUAAACUGUGAUAUCAUAAUGAAAAAGGAAAAGAAAAUGACUGGCCACUAAAUGUACCACCAAGCUGAUGACUUGAUGGAUGCAGAGAAUUCUUUGCUAAGUUAAAUGCUACUGUGAUCCGUCAGUGAGCAGAGAAGACCGAGUGAGAAGGACCAGAAUUCUGCAUCGUUUCUGUGAGGAAGCAUUUGUGCACAUUCCCCACCCGGUCCUGAACUAGGAGGAUGACUAUCUCUUUUCACAACAGACAACAAAUCACUUUUUCCAUACUGAAUCAGUGUUUUAUAACCAUGUCUCAGAAACAAGUAUGAGUCAGUGACAUGCCUUUUUGUUUUAAAUAACAAUUUUAUGCGCAGAAAGCUCAAAAGCGACCAUCCUUUAAGUUCAGCUUGAUAGUGGGGGAGGCUGCUUAGCUACUGAGCUUCCUAGUGUGUUUUAACUGAGGGGAUUCGAGACUAUCUUUGAAAGUAUGUAACCUGCAGCAAAGCCAGAGCAGUUCCUCUCUUGGCUUGCAAGGAUUCCUAGGAUUGGUGAACUGUGUAUUCCAGUCCACAAGGGAUGAACCAGCCACAGGAUCAGAGCCUACCAUUUGCUCAGGAUAUGCAAGAUCUUCCCUGCUGGUGAGGAGAAAGGUGUGAUGAGCAGAGAACAAGAAUCUCUAAGACGCCUGAGGCUGUUUCAAGUUGAUCAAAUCACAUUUUCAAAACCAAGAUUUUUUAACAAAAUCCUCUAAAAUAUAGGGUCCUCAGAGAACUAAAGUACAUUAGGCAAAGAAUUCAAGGAGAAUAUUUUGGAGUUUGAUAGAUCAGAUGAAUCCCCAGCAGAUAGUUUUAACCACUUUGUAUGGCCAUUGGUUUUGACUUUUUGUUGAGAGAUAAAAAUGCUGCAAGCUCCUGCUGUUCCUCGGCCACAGACACUGUGGGAUCCCCAGCUUUGUAGCAAAUGACCAACAUCCCUAGACGGGCUCAGUUACCUGUAGCUUGCCCUGUCAGCACAGUUGGCCAUUUCGAAACCAGUGGGGGUCUCUUACAACUUUGUUUAUCUUUCAAUAGAACCACCUGCCUGGGGUUGAAUUGUCUGGUCUAUAAAUACAGAAACAGUGCAGAGCAUAGUUUUAACAUUAAAGAGGAGAACAUUAGAGAGAAAAAAUAAGUAAGUCCCAGGAACAGGAUAGUCUUCAAAAUUUCUACCCAGUUAGUUUUUCAACUGGAAAAGAAAAUGGCCUUAAUAGCUUUACAUGUUUUGAACAUCUAAAAUCAACUGGGUAUCAUUUUAUAGCGUUGCCAUCCUUAAUCGUGAUGCAGGAAGUAGACUAAUGAUCUAUAAAGCACAACCCCACAACAACUUCCCCGCAUCACUGAAAAGUAGAACAUACCCAGCAUUGGAGAAACCUGCCUGAGUUCAGGACAUUCACACACUCUCCAGAGUGAAACGUGUUGUGGAUAGCACACCCAAAAAUGUCUCAAUCAGUACCAGUGCUCAUUUCUAUAACAAUGAACUCACUCUGGGUUCCCGAAUAUGUUUUUGGAAUAUAAAAUGAACAAUUCUUACAAUUUUAUGAUAAAACACAUGGGAAAGAUAGAACAAUUUUAAUUUUACCCAAAUUCAUUCUGCUAAUAAUAUUUAUUUAAAUUAUGAGGACAUCCCCAAUUGACUGUGUUUUUACUAUACAGUCUAAAAGUAAGUUCACAGAUUUAUAUUUAAGAAAUGUUUUUAGGCAAAUAUUUUUCCUAUCAAUUUACUUCUGGGUAUGUAUUUUUUCCAUUAUCUUAUCUAAUCAAAUUCAAAUAUUUAUCGAUUAGGUGAUCACAGUAAAAGUAACCCAAAUGUAUGAAAAAUAUAUUUACAUAAGACCAAUUAUCUACUAAUAUGAUCUUUAUACUGUUUUGCCUAUUUGACCAGUAAUAAAAAAAUCACAAGAAUUUGCUUAUCUACAGUAAAAUUCACUCUUCUUGACAUGAAAUUAUGUGAGAUUUCCAGAUACAUAGUCAUGUACUCAUACUUAUGAUUCACAGAGAAUUAUAGAUCACUUUAAAAUUUUCUUUAUGACUUCUACUUGGUCAUUAUCUUCAUCUACACCAUAGCAUUCACCACAUCCUGGCAAAUGCAGGAGAUUUGUGUUCCGCAUAAUAUAAUGAACAUGAGAUUACAGACUAGUAUUUGGGUUAUGCCACUUUAAUUUUAGCAAAACAUACUUAAGAUUUAUUUAUAUACUGUUGCACAAAUCAAUAGUUCAUUCAUUUUUACUGCUACACGCAUUGUCACAUUUACACCACAUUCAUAAUCUUUUCAUUGAUUGAAGGACAUUUGAAUUAUUUCCAGCUCUUACUAAUUCUUAAUAAAACUUCUGUAGAAAUUUCUGCCUCUGUGUAUGUGUGAACAUAACUUCAUUUUGCUAGAGGAAACACUGGAAGUAUGAAUGAUGGACCACACAAUAAGUUAGGUUUAGCUUCAUACUAGCAUGCCAAACUGUUUUCUGCACUUGCUGUACCAUUUCAUCUGAUCAGCAGUGUGCGAGAGCUGUACUUGCUCCAAAUCUUGUCAACAUCUGGAAAUGUGAGUGCUUUUUGGGAGGUGUUAUUGUUGAUAAUAGCCCUUUUAAUAUGUAUGUAAUGAUAUCUCAUUUGGUUUUAAUUUGCAUUUCCCUAAUGACUAAUGAUUUUUAGUAUCAGGUUAUGUACUCAUUUGCCAUCUGCAUAUCUUCUCUGGUGAAGUGUCUGUAAAAACAGUUUGCCCAUUAAAAUAUAUUUUUUUUCUUGUUUGACCCUUUCUUGAGAUUAAGAGUUCUUUAUGU